AGUCCGGCACCACCAAGCAGCACUGCGCCGCGGCAGGCAGUGCGCAAGCGCGAGCCACACGCAUGCGCUGCAGAGCACGUGGGGAGGUCCGCGCAGCCGCAACUAGAGAGACGGGCAGCCAAACCGCACACGCCCCUGGCGAGGUUCCAGGACCUUGUGGGUCAACACAUGGACUGUCCAACAGCUUCCUGCCUCCCCUCCCCCCGUUGUUCUGAAUGACCAGGGCAUGGACCUGAAAGUAUUCAGAAUCAGAACUCAACUCAGGGGCACCUGCGCUCACGUGGGCCUGAGGCACUUCACGUGGCCUUUCACACUUAGUAGAGUGUCCAGGAUUUGGGCCUGUAGUUUUAAGAACCUGACAGCUGACUGGGUGUGGUGGUUCACUACUUUAAUACCAGCGUCUCUAGGAAUUAGGCCAGCCAGGGUACCAUAGUGAGACCCUGUCUUGGGGAAAAAAAAAAUUCUGACAGUUGAGAGGUGACUGUAAACAGUGUGCCUCAUCCACAGUUUCAUGAGGGAAGAAGGGAGGCCCAGAAGGCCACUAGUGCUGACUUUGUAACUGAUCCAGAGGUAUGCUAAGUUGGCAGACACCCAGUUCACACAUCAGCGGUGUGACUACUCCAUUUGGCAGGACUUGACACCCUUGGCUUUGCCCUUCCUGUACAGCCCAAUGUCCAGGCUUCCCCACAGCCCCCAUACCUGCUGAAGUUAGGAUGUUCUCUGAUGGGGACUCCUGAGGUUCACCUCCUCUUCUUCCAAAAACAACAGAUCCAUGCACAGUGGAGAUGAAAAAUAGGGGUAGGAAGAUGACAGGGGUUUUCUUAAGUUUUGUAACUUCCUCAUGUGUUUUGUAAGCCUAACUCCUUCCCCAUAGUGAACACCAGCCACACCCAAAGAAGGCUUGAACUGUGUUUUUGGAGGUUACUGCAUUGUACUAUAAUACUUGAUUGGUAUCUAGCGGUACAUUCCAGGUACAAGGCUAGCCUUGGAGAGACUUCCAGAGCAGAAGUCACCAACGUGUCCAGCACGUAGUCUGCAGUCCAAGGUCACACAGCAAGAAGCCAUCUGUGUACACUUAAAUAAAAAUAUCAGGUGUCUAGUGGUUGCUGGGGAAACCCUUUGUUUACAAUGGGGUUAAGGGCCUGGAUUGUGUAGGCAGCUUCCCCGUUUCAGAGGAAGGAACAAAGCUGACAUUGUGUCAUUUCUUAGUGGGCCCCACCAAACUGAGAUCUCAGGAACCUCCUGCUCAAACCCACCACAGGGCUGACACUGAGUCAGUCUGGGAAUAGCCAGAGGCAAGACUCCAAAGUAGAUCAAAGGUCACACGGGGUGUGGUACCAGGAAGAAAUCAGGGCAAUUACACACAUUUUUGCUUCAGGUCUCCAACACCAGGAUUUUAGUCUUCUUAGGGAAAGAAUGGGGAGGGCUGGGUUGUCACAAGGGUGAUGGGGUGUUUGUCAGGUAAGCUCUCAGGCACAGGUUUAAAGGGGGACUUGUACUAAGUGGGAAGUUAGUUUCGUCUGAUCAGGGUGUGAUAGUUUAAUGACAGCUAUCCACUAUCCAAAAGGCAGGUGACAGGUAGCCAGAAAAGAGUCUAUUGUGGAGGAGAGUUUAGUGUCAUGGGAUGCCACAAAGUUAUUUUGUCCACCAUCCACUAGUGAACACCUGGCAUAGGCAAAGACCAUCAUCAGGGGCUAGUGUCCACAAUAGCCCACUUGACAGUUUCCUUAUUGAGUGGGCACUACCCCUUCUCCAGCCUGAUCAGUGAUUAAGAAAGGGGCAGCAGCAGGCACUUUCUUUUUGGUAUGGCAUGUAGAGGCUGAGGACCUAGUGCCUGGCGUACUCAGGAACAGUGACUUCAGGAGCCUGGGCUGCACAGUCACCAGCUGAAAUCACACACCAAAAACUUUGUUCUCAUAUAAUCCCUGCCAGGCUACUCACUCGUUCUCACAUGGGGGAUCUGGGGACAAAUAACUUGGCCAAAAUCAUCCUGUGACGAGAGGCAGAGGUGACUGGCUGCUGGGAUCUCAAGCGGUAGGGAGCAGUCUACAGAGCACUCGUGGUGGUGGGUUGCACUGAGCAUGAAGGGGCAAAGUGACAGUGGUAUGAGCAGGCUGGUCAUUUGGCUCAGGCACACUUGAAGGCAUGAGUAGUAUCUAGUGGUGAAUGCAAGCUGUGAAAACCUGAGCAUUCUGCCUGAUCUGAAAAGGCCUGUGCCUCAAGGUCUUUCGUUGACUGCUAUUUAGCCACUACUGCUGUCCACAUGUUUAAAGAGGGCAGUAGCCUUGAAGCUGACUGAGAAGGAACCAACCUCCAGUCCUCUGAGGUGGAGACAGAAGUGCCCUGGUUCCACUGGGCCUGCUAGAGAUCAGGGUAGAAAUAGGUUAAGAUACGGAUUCUCAAAGACAGAAAGAAGGCAGUGUUAGGAGUAUGGUCAACCUCACCAGUAUUUCCCUCUAGCUCAGAAAGAACUUUCAAGUGUUCUGUACUCAGUGGGGAUUGGGGUAGGUAACAGCCUGCAAAAGAUUUGUCUAUGAAAAACAGAUUUACUUCAGGGAGAUUGGGGGAGUAUUACGCUAAGCAAACCCAUCUGCUCAGCCCGCCAAUCACCACACCACACAGCUUGCAACAUCAGGGUAGUCUCUUCUGAAGGGAGAACCACCGACCGAGUGGACUGAUUUACUUACCACCCCCAAUGAAAGGGAGCUUGGCCCAGUUAGUAUAUAGGGCAUCUGAGGAUCAAAGUCGUCUUUUAUAAUCAUUCCUUUCGUUUAAAAUUUUUUAUUUUACUGCAUUCUGUGUGAGGUGUUAGAUCCACUGAACUAAAGUUACAGCUAUGAGUUGCCAUGUGGGUGCUAGAAAUUGAACCCGGGUCCUCUGGAAGAAUAACCACCUCUUCAGCCUGUCUCUUAUAAUUUUGUUUUCCGAGAAAGGGUUUCUCUGUAGCUUCAGAGCCUCUCCUAGAACUAGCUGUUGUAGACCAGGCUGGCCUCAAACUCACAGAGAUCCACCUGCCUCUGCCUCCCGGGCUUAAAGGUGUGUGCCACCAAUGCCCAGCCUAUCUCUUAUAAUCUUAAAACUCACGUUCAGUCUAGAACUAGGCACUGCAGUGGACUGGAUGCUGGAGGAAUGGCAGUUGAGCUUUAUUUUAAUACUUCUGAGGUUGAUGCUCACUCCUUCAAGAUGUAGCGGCCUUUAUUGAUUAAGAAGGAAACGCUGCUUAGUUAGAAGGAAAGAGUAUAUUCGGAGGGGAAGAUCCUCAGUAUUUUAGUGGGAAAACAGGAAGAACAAGCCAAAGCAGCUUGUUGGUAGAGAGGCCAGAGGAGAAGAUGCAAGACAGAACCCAGAUACUGAGGGGUCCUAGAAAACAAAUGGUUCUGCAGGCCUGAGAUGUACAGCAUCUUGGGAACGUCUCAAAGCUGGCCCCCACCACUGGCCCUCUUUUUUUCUUUUUUUUUGAGACAGACUUCCUCUUAUUAUAUUCCUUUGGCUAUUCUGAAACUUACUAAGUAGACCAGAUUGGUUCCGAACUCAAAGAGCCACCUGCCUCUGUCUCCUGAGCGUUGAUUACAGGUAUGUGGUACCACCAUCCUCAGCCAUGAUGUUAUGUCAUUGUUGAGUAAGCAAUUGGGGCAUGUGGCUACCUCCAUACACUGAAACUGACCCUCAAAUAACCAUCACGCCAGAGUCCCUCAUGUCAAACUGCUUUAUUACAUCUUAAAUAACAGUACAGUUUAAUAUAGUAUCUAUCUUGCAUCCAGCCUCCUUGCAGUACACUGACUUUAAAAUUAAAUACAAAAGGUGAAAAGGGUACAGGGUGCAGAGAGCUCUACAGAGUUGUUUGGUAGGAAGAGAAGGGG